GAUGAACGCUGGCGGUGUGCCUAAUACAUGCAAGUCGAACGAGACCUUCGGGUCUAGUGGCGGACGGGUGAGUAACACGUUGGUACCUACCCCUAAGUGGGGAAUAACUGGCCGAAAGGUCGGCUAAUACCGCAUAAUCCCGCAAGGGUAAAGCAGUAAUGCGCUUAGGGAGGGGCCUGCGUCUGAUUAGCUAGUUGGUAGGGUAAAAGCCUACCAAGGCGACGAUCAGUAGCUGGAUCGAGAGGUUGACCAGCCACACUGGGACUGAGA
rnacentral:rRNA from 1 species